CCUACGGGAGGCAGCAGUGAGGAAUAUUGGUCAAUGGUCGCGAGCCUGAACCAGCCAAGUCGCGUGAGGGAGGACGGUCCUGUGUAUUGUAAACCUCUUUUGUCGGGGAGCAAAAGACGCCACGCGUGGCGUGCCGAGAGUACCCGAAGAAAAAGCAUCGGCUAACUCCGUGCCAGCAGCCGCGGUAAUACGGAGGAUGCGAGCGUUAUCCGGAUUUAUUGGGUUUAAAGGGUGCGCAGGCGGAAGAUUAAGUCAGCGGUAAAAUUGAGAGGCUCAACCUCUUCGAGCCGUUGAAACUGGUGUGCUUGAGUGAGCGAGAAGUAAUCGGAAUGCGUGGUGUAGCGGUGAAAUGCAUAGAUAUCACG
rnacentral:rRNA from 1 species